UUCCGGUUGAUCCUGCCGGAGGCUACUGCUAUUGGAAUUCGAUUAAGCCAUGCGAGUUUAAAGGACUUCGGUCCUUGGCAGACGGCUCAGUAACACGUGGAGAACCUGCCCUCAGGAGGGGGAUAACCCCGGGAAACUGGGAAUAAUACCCCAUAGGUCUAGAAUGCUGGAAUGCUUCUAGGCUCAAAGCUCCGGCGCCUGAGGAUGGCUCUGCGGCUUAUCAGGUUGUAGUGAGAGUAACGUCCUCACUAGCCUAUGACGGGUACGGGCCCUGAGAGGGGAUGCCCGGAGAUGGACUCUGAGACACGAGUCCAGGCCCUACGGGGCGCAGCAGGCGCGAAAACUCCGCAAUGCUCGAAAGAGUGACGGGGGGAUUCCAAGUGCCUACGCUUAGCGUAGGCUGUUCAGAUGCCUAAAAAGCAUCUGGAGUAAGGGCUGGGUAAGACGGGUGCCAUCUGUGGCAGCAGCCGAAGAUUUGGCUUGUUGCUGCAAGGCAUAAGCCGCCGCGGUAAUACCCGCAGCCCGAGUGGUAGUCGAUUUUAUUGGGCCUAAAGCGUCCGUAUCCGGUCUGAUAAAUGCCUGGGUAAAUCGUCUGGCUUAACCAGACGAAUUCCGGGUAGACUGUCAGACUUGGGACCGGUUGAGGAAGAGGGUACUUUAGGGGUAGGAGUGAAAUCCUGUAAUCCUUGAAGGACCACCAGUGGCGAAGGCGCUCUUCUAGGACGGGUCCGACGGUGAGGGACGAAAGCCAGGGGAGCAAACCGGAUUAGAUACCC
rnacentral:rRNA from 1 species